rnacentral:snoRNA from 1 species
UUGGCAAAUGACAACAAGCAAGACAGGGACUCUGCAGCGCUCCCGUGAAUGAUGCAUCCGUCUAGGGGAAUCUCUGAUGCUAA